rnacentral:rRNA from 1 species
UGGGGAAUUUUGGACAAUGGGGGCAACCCUGAUCCAGCCAUGCCGCGUGAGUGAAGAAGGCCUUCGGGUUGUAAAGCUCUUUAGUUCGGGAGGAAAUCCUGAUUGUGAAUAAUGAUUAGGGAUGACAGUACCGAAAGAAUAAGCACCGGCUAACUACGUGCCAGCAGCCGCGGUAAUACGUAGGGUGCGCGCGUUAAUCGGAAUUACUGGGCGUAAAGAGCGCGUAGGUGGUUUGUUGCGCCAGCUGUGAAAGCCCCGGGCUUAACCUGGGCAUGGCAUAUGGUACGGGCAACCUAGAGUAUGGUAGAGGGGGGUAGAAUUCCAUGUGUAGCAGUGAAAUGCGUAGAGAUGUGGAGGAAUACCGAUGGCGAAGGCAGCCCACUGGACUGUAACUGACACUGAGGCACGAAAGCGUGGGGAGCAAACAGGAUU